rnacentral:tRNA from 1 species
GGCUGAGUGGUGGAAUUGGCAGACACACAGGACUUAAAAUCCUGUGGGAGGUUACUCCCGUGCGGGUUCGAGUCCCGCCUCAGCUA